AGCCAGCGCGGGGCACCCAGAAGGGAAGCACAAGGGCAAUGCAUCUGCACACUGGGGCCAAAAUAGAGCCCUGCUUCUACCAGAGUGGAGGGAGGGCUGGGUACCAGCUGGGAGCAGAGCCUAUGCAAGGGCUUUAUCAUUUUCAGCUUGUCCUAAUUGAAAGCACGUACAGGGAUUAUCUCUGAUUUUCACCUGGGCCUUCCGGGAUCUAAUUUCUACCAGGAAUAGUAGCUCUGGGCAGGCUAUACAUGCUGAUUUCUUACAGCUUUCUUUUCAUUUUCUGUUUGUUUGUUUGUAUCUUUGGUGGAGGUGUGCAGGAAUCUCCCUCUGACACUUGUCUUUUCAGGUCGAAAGCCCUCAGGAUUUGCAAAGUGACAGGGUAGGUGAAUGCCAGCAUGUUGCUGCCAGCAGACUUGAGGUGGAGGAGGAUCGCACAGGACUGAUAAAUCUCACCUGCUGCUUAAGCCAAAGGUUCCCUUUCAUUGGCCUCCAACAAAGACAGAGGCAGUUAUGGCUCCUAUUGCUCUCCUGCUGUAUUAGAGGCAGAAGUGUCGGUAUUGCAGCUGGGUAAGAGAGACCUGAAGUUCCUUUCCCAAGGGUUCCCCUGCUCUGCAUCUACUCAAAGACUCUGAUGGCCACUGUGCAGUGAGGAUAAGAGUGGAUCUCAUGGAACUGUGUUCCCAAGCAUUGUAUACUUGGUACUUGAGCAAAAUAGUGAUCUUCUGGAUGUGUGACCACUAAGGGCAGGACAAGUAACUUCUGCUUAUAGCUUGGUGUGUCCAGUCUACUUUGAUGUGAUUUCUGCACACCUAGAGGGACAGAAAUGCAAGGAAAAAUAACGUUGCUCUGGGACCACAGAGGAGGAAACACAGCCCUCACAGUGUUUGCUGCAGAGCUCUCUCUGAAAUAAAGGUGCUUUUGACACAAGUGGGUUGGGAUUCAGAUCUUCCAGCCUCUUCCAUUCCCUAAUUCACAUUCAAGCAAAUGCUUUGUUGUUUAGUAAAGUAAAGGUCACAACGUAAUCACCUUCUGUUAACACUGUUGGUUUAUGAGAUAACGAGAGCUUGAUGUCCACGCUCAGUUGAUCACUGAAAACGUUCCUAGAAUGUGUAUUCUACUUCAUUGUUAUCAUUAGCAUCAGGAGCAUGUUACUUGGUGACUCCAGAUUCAGCUGCCUCCACAGCUUACAACUCAGGCUUUACCAUUGGGACAGAAGGGACUGCAGCUACACCUGCUAAUCCUAUUUUAUUUGCUUGUAAACACCUGUGUUUGUUUCUUACCCACAUGAGAGGUAGGUAAGAGAGACCACCCAAGCCCUUGCAUUGGAUGAAGUGCAGCUGGAAUUAAUUGCAUAUGCUGUAGAACGGACAGUGAAUGGCAAACCAACAAAGUCUAUAGAGGGCCUUUUUGUCUCAGUGACAUUUGACUGAAUAAAGCCAUCCUGGAAUGUGACAAAGGCAUUGAUGGGAUGUGUUUUAUUCACCCUUCUAAUCCGAAUGAGUUACUGGGUGGUGUGUGACCAGCAAGUCUCACUGAUCAUUUCUGAGGCCAGUGCCAGUCCAUAGGAGUAAAAGGUACAGGUGGUUCUACUCACCAGACAGGGAGAAAUACAUUUUCCUUCAUAUUACAAACACUCUCUAAAUUCAACUCCUGGAAGAAAUUUAUGGAUUAGCUAUAGGAACUGAUCUGUAUAUAUCAGGUUUUCUUCUCUAGGCCAGAGCAAUGGAAAUGGCCUCAGACACCUUCCCCCUUCCUGUGGUACACAUACUAGGGCAUGCAUAUAAGCUGGGGAUAGUGGAAAGCCAACACCCUUAUCUCCAACACUCUCGCUAAGAACUAACAUACAGUGAGCUCACUUUUAUUUAUUAAUUUUUACUUUAGAGUUAUUGUGGUUGCAACAAUGCAAAUAUUAGCUUCCUCACAGCAGCAGCAGUGCAAGGAUUUCACUGCCCAGAGGAGAAAAAAUAAAACAACAAACAAAUUUUUUAAAAAAACAUUCUGCUUAACUAGCUAGAAAAGCUGAAGAGAUGCUUUCCACCUCUCUUGUUUAAGGAUUGAUAAAAGUGAUUCUCAAAGGGAGCUGUAAGGGAACUGUUAUGUCACGGCCUGAACUGAUGAUUGAGCACCGGGUGAAGGACGUGGCUGGCCUCGGAAGCACAGGUGCAAGCAAGUCACCUGUGCUUCCCCCGUGAGGAGAGGAGGUGGAACCUGGGUCCAUCCCUCUCUGGGCUCAUUUAAGGGCUAGCCUCCAAAAGGAGAUCCUUUUCUGUAUGAGGGCUGCUUCCUAAGGAAUGUUUUUGUGUCCAGGGAUCCUAACAGCAGGUUAGAAGUAUCAGAAGGUGAAGCUUCACAUGACUGAGAGUUAUAUGAUUGCUAACGCCAGUUCUCCUGACCAGGAUCAUUUAGUUCUUGCUUGGAUUCAUCAAGAACAGCUCAUCUUUUAAGAGCUAUUAUUUUUGUCAUCUGACCUAGAAGAAUCACAAGAGACCAAGGUCUUUGUUUAAGAACUGCCUGCAUGCAAGUUAACUACGAAUGCCUCAGGGAGUAUAAGCCGCUGCCAGCAUGGAAAUUUAUAGGAUUGACAUGGUUUUCUAAUUUGAUUGCUCUACUCAUUGUUGCAAACUUCCUGCACAGGUAUCAAUUUUAACAUCACGCAAACAUAUUACAUUUAUACAUACCAAUAAUACCAGCUUUAAAUUAGGAAACACUUCCUAAUGGCGUGCAUAAUUAAAUGUUAGGAUAGGAUGUCUAGGGAGGUCGUAGGAUUGCCAUCGUGAAUGGAUCCUUACAGUACACUGUAAAGAAUACACUUGGAAUUAGGUGAGUAUAGUGGCCUGUGCUUAGAGACUAGGAGAUGGAUUAGAAGGUCUUUUGAGUCCUCCUGGGGGCUGUAGUCUAAAGACUUUCUGCUCACGUUAGACCUUAAAUCAUGAAGUUCUAUGAACCAUGAGGAGUGUGUAUUAAUAAGUGAUUCACACAAGUGAUUUUCUAAAUAGAGAUGCUUUUCUUAAAAACAAAAGCCUUAAACUGGGAAAAGCUCAGGAUCAUGCUGAUGUACGACAUUUUAGAGACAUUGUAAUUGCUCUGCUUGGGAAAUUUACUGAGCAUGUCAAUAAAUUAAAAAUUGUACAGGACAAAGGGUAUCUGAAAGCACCACCUCUUCCCAGGGAGGUCUAUUGCAAGGUUGCUGCCCAACAUCAACUGCUGCUUAAAAAGCUAAUUCCUGGGGAUGUCACAUCUUCAGCACUUCUCCUGAGGACAGAUCAGUCUGAAAAGAUUGUGUUUCUGAGAGCUGACUGGAGUCAGAACUCCACCAUGGCAGAAGACAGAAUCUGUUGGGUUUUUUCCUACCCUAUGUGCAGAAAAAAGAUCUUAUUCUAAAAAGUUCAAGGUCUUGUUCUGCAUGACUGGAAAAUACAUCUCUGUGCAUCACUUUCUUUCGGUUGUUUUUCCUUGAAGAGAAGGAGCACAAUAUGUAAAAUAUCAGUAAGCCCAAAAAAAAAAAAAAAAAAAAAAGACCAAACAAGACUCCAGCAAUGGCCAUGAUCUCUGACUCAUCCUUUCCCAAUAGAUACAGGUUCAGGGGAGAAACUCAGCUGGAACUUGCUCUUGGUAAAGAUUUUGUGCACAGUGCAACACCAGCGUGCAUUCUAGGAUGAAAUUAAUACAGAACAAGCCAAAUUCUUUAGGAAUAAUGCCUCCACACUGAUGUACAAGUGUGUUUCUUGAAAUAACAGUGCCAUCCUGAAAGGCAAAAUUAUACACCAGUGUGCCAGUUCUCUUGUUUGUCAGGCAGGCCGGAAUAACCUUGGAGUGGAAAGCUGAAGGAAGAAGCUUUUCUGUGGAAAUGAGGAGCUCCUUCAAGAUGCCAGGCUACCACAGGGCUGUGCUGAGAGAUGCCGUGCUGGCAAAGCCUUGCUCCUAUGGGAUGGCAAAACAAGAAUUCAAGCAUGAGAACAUCACUAAAGAGAAGCAAUCCUCAGCUGAUCCCCAGGGUGCCCUGUCUGUCCAUGUGGGCCAAGAUACAGGCUCUGCUGAUCCAAAGGACUACUAUUAUCUUUAGCUGCAUCUUUACCUAGAGCUGAGCUGCCAUGUCUGGCAGAGGUUGAUGCUGGCCUGAGGGACUUCAUGUUUCUUGGUGCUGCUUGAUUAGAGCUCAGACAUGCAUCACAUAGCAUCUCAGCCCCUCAUGAGAGGCCAUGCAACUGUGCACAGUGAGGCUUGGGUCCCCUCCUUGCUGCCACCCUGAUGGGAUAAGGGUCUGAAGUGCUAUCUGAUGCCUUUCUGAAUCAUGCUCUUCCCAGGGCUCCUCCAGAACCCAGGCAAUGAGCUAUGGGUGAGCCAUGUGCUUCAUAGAUGAAACAUCAGGCUAGAGAGAGAAGCUAUUUGUUGUUUUCCCUUCCUAGAGAUAUUGUUUACAGCAUAUUUUCUUCUGAGCAUUUCUUUCGCUCUGAAUUCUCAAAGUCAUGUAGAAGCAACUGCUGGUGCAAACCGCUGUGGCUGUAGCAAUGUGGAUGGUGUGAUGCUAUGCUACAUUGGAAUGAGACCUGGCCCUUAGUUUUAGUCAUCGUGACGUUAGCACGUUUUUUUGCUUGCCUUGCUGAACAAGCAUGUAGACAAAGCACUUUCCUCUCUACUCAAGAGCUAGAGAAGAGCACAGAUGUCCCAUUUGUGUCACAACUAUAUGAAUUCACACUAUCUGAAUUUUCUCAACUGUGUACUACUGUCCAGUGUCAUUUCCCUGACCUCCGUGAAGUUCUCCCCCUUUACGCUCCCCCACUUGACAGCUCUCAGAGAUAGAAGAGUCAGCAGCAUUUUGUAGGAGAAAGAGUCAAAGCAGGGAAUUAAGACACCGCCUCAUGCAGAGGCAUUAGCGCCUGAGUCACUGGGAUGUCAUUCAGGCACUAGGACAGCCUGUGAAGCCUUUCAGAUCACAUGCGUGCAUGACAUUUAGAAGAGGUGGGUGACCUCACGGGAGAUUAUCUAAGAGAUCUAAACUGACCAUAGAAGGCAGCAUUGGAAGCUUUCAUUUAUCCUCGCUAACCUUCAGCAAUAAAAAAGGAGGAUGAGUGCACGGAUGUGCAUGCAGGAAGUAUGCAAGAAGCGCUGAGAACAUUGUGAAAGCCAGAAGGCUGGUAAACCAUACCCCAGCUCCAGUGACACACGGCUGUCAUGGAAAGAGAGAGGAGGAGGACACGAUUUGUUUCCCAAGGGACAGUGUUUUGUUUCAAACCUUUUCAAACCUCAUUUGCUACUUGACUGUGCAGUAGAAGUUUAAAAAAAAAUGGUGCUCUUUCCUGAUUUUUGUAGAAAACCAUGAAUUUGGAUGUCCUUCUGACCUUCUUAAUUCUAAAUAUGGCCACUAGUCCAAGAUCAACCUUGGGAACAACUGUGAGGCCAACUGGAAAAACUGAAUUAUUCAGUCCCCUCAAUUCCUUCUAUUGCUCACCCUGCAUGUCUAAAUCAGCAUCCCAUCAGACCACAUGCUUGGUGGGGGGCAAGGAGCAAGGCAGUUUUCCUGAGUUCAGUAUUAAUAAGGAUCCAAAGGGUCGUGAGAUGUCUUCUUAAAUCUGUGGCCUUCCUUUAAUUAUGUAUGUCAUGUGUCAGCCCAGAGCAUACCUUUCUUCAGACUAGCGUUCCUGCUGAGCUUCCAGUUAGAAAAUUGGAACAGCAGCAAAUAAGUGGUAUGGCCACAGAGAUCUUGGUAGCUCUGAAAUUGCUCUUGCUCCUUGCCCUGCUUCUCAAAGUAGAAACCCACACUUAUGUCCUCUUCUGCCUCUCGUCCUCUGCCUUUUCCAUCUCAAUCUCUUGGAGCCCAUCCUUCUGUGAGUUAUCCCUCUGUACCUGUUGAGUCCAUCUGUUCGUGUGGUGGGUCCUCAUGUGCAACAAGCAUGUGAAUCCUGCCCCUUGUGUCCAAAUUCACCCCAUAUGGUCAAAAGCUAUGUGCUCAAGACAGAAAAUGCUGUGUUCUGCAUUGUUAUAAUGCCCAGUUUAGCUGCAUGUUGAGUUAUGCAUUUCUGCUAAGAUCAGGUCUUGUAGGCUCCAGAUACGUGUGAGGUCCAUCACUCAUAGCAGCAGCAGAAUAUAGCUGCUUUGUUAUUAUCUUUCCAGGUGUAACACAAGUCUUCUGUAGAGUAUCACUGAAAGCAUUUCAGAGUAGCCUAGCGAGAAGUGAACGUGACAACUGAAUAGGUCUGUUUAUUUUACAAAUUAUUUUAGUCUGUUUCCAAGAACUCAGAAAAAGAUAUGAAUUUUACCAGAUUUGAUUUAUCUUACAACCAACCAUUACUUUUUUUUUUUUUUGCCCCUAGAAAAAAUGGGGCAUGAAGUAAGGAGUACUUUUUGAGGGCUGAAAAAGUGACAUUAGAGGGAAUGUUCGUCAUAGUUAUUCAUGAACCAGUAGUACUAGCCAGCUCAUAUACUGAAAUACAUUUUUGGCCCCCCAAAAUCCCUACCUUAAUCUGCUUCACUUAAAAAAAACAAUAUGAAUUCAAAUUACAUGUGCACACAUUAGGGAAACCAGGAUUUAGUCAAAUGGGCAAAAGGAAUUUGUUUCAAUGUUUUGGCCCUAGAGCUAUUAUCAAGAAAUAUACAACUACUUUCCUCAGACAGCCAUCUCUGGUUCUCUUCUCUCAACACCAUCAAUUUUUUUAUAAUACAAAAUGACCGAAGUGCAGGAUUUUUAUUACAUAUUCCCAUAAAUAAUUUACUGAUAACAUGGAACGAGAGAAAUGAAAGAGCCAUCUCUAUUGCUGAUGUGAUCACACUGAACACAGUCCUGGUAAGAUGCCACUGAACUCAGCGAACUGUGCCUCAAGGCUUUGAUUCUGGGAAUUCACUUCCAUAAACACAAUUGCCUGCAACUACAGAUGUUUUACUGGAAGGUCACCUUGUGAGAAUAUCCUCUCAGCAUUUAGAUGGGCCUCUCCAACACUGCAUUUUGCCCAGGUGUGGCCUUUUAUCCUUCAUCAGUUGGUGCUUCUGCCUGAGAGUCAGCUCCCCGUCAUGUGCUUACAAGUGGAUUAGUGCAGUGGGGCCUUCCUUUUGCUACUAAAUAUAAUAGCUUAUGCCACCAGAGAAAUAAAAAAACAUUCUAUAAUUCAGGAAUGCAUAAAGCAGAGCCUCCUGAGUGUUAAAGCAAGCAGCACUGAUUGUGUUAGAAAUUCAGAAGCGUUAUAAACUUCUAAUUGGAAAUCAUUAAACCAGAGUCGUCACUUGAAUUAUAUUCAAAUAUAUCAAAUUUUUCAAGUAACAGUAUUUAUUACUUUUUCUCUGCCUCUAUGUUAAAUGUUUGGGUUUGUUGUUUUUUCCGUGCAGAUGAUCAGAGAGAUCAUUAAAUCAAGUUUUUGCCCAGUGGACCACAAUUUAAACUCUGCCACACAAUAUGCUGAGGUAGUGGUGUCUUGUAAGACUAACUCCUUUGCUGGAAGGGGAGACACAGCAAUAAGUACUUCUGUUUUUCUAACAGAACAUAUCUCUACCAUGCUGUUGAAUAGUAUUUCAGAAAAAAAUACAUUUGGUCUUUUUCAAAAUUGGCUAAUAAAUAAAGAGAUAAAAUAAAAGUGCAGAGAAGGAGGCAGAAGGAUAGAAAAGCAAGCUCUUCCUUCACUGUGCAUGCUCUGAGCUUAGUGACACUACAGCAGUACAGUCCCUUUGAUGUACUGUCACGCCAGUGCUAUGCAGAGAACAGUGCAGAGAAAUGGUAUUGAAAUCCAGUUAUUUUGCUGUAUUUCAUAGGUCCCUCAUUAAGCAGGUUAGGGAUAUGGGGUUGAAGGGGAGUUUAUGUCUCUGUGGCUUGUUUAUGAUAAACAUCUAUUUUUGUGGAACCAUUCCUUUAGCUUCACUGCCUAGAGACAGUCAUUUAUCAUCAGUGAGAUGUCAGUAGAUAGCUGUUAAUGAGCUUGGUUCAUACCCAUAAAGGCUGACAAGUAACUAGGUGAAAUAGGUAUAAUUUUAGCAUGAUAUGUUGUCAUGUAUUUCAUUGUAAUAACUCAAUAUUUUCUUUAAUCUGUUCGAAAAUGUAAUAUUUGGGGUGUGAAAUUUUACAUGCCAGUAGUAGACUACAAAGUUAAUGGGACAUCUUUCACUGGUCCGUCCAUGCCCUAGUCAGACCCUUACAUAAUAUUUAGAUGAAAAGUAAUAGGACUAAGACAUGCCAGUUCAGACCAGUUAUUAUCAGUUUGGUAGCUGAAACAGAGAGAUCCUUCACAACCUCUUUUUUUUUAUUAUUAUUAUUUUCUUUCCUGGCACUAAGUUGCUGAGCCUACGCUUUUAUAGAGAUUCAUUGUACUGCUAAGACAUGAAGGGUCUUAGUGUGGGCAACUUGUUGAUCCUCUCUGUCAACCUCAAGACAGUGUAAAAUUUUUUAUAUAUAUAUAUAUAUAUAAAAUGAAAUUUCAUUGAAAAAAAAAUAAAGCUAAAUAAAAAUUGUCUUUGCCUCUGCCUUCCCUUUCCCUGCUAUUAUGUUUCAGUGGUCCGUGGUGGUACCUGUUCAUUUUGGAGGAAGGUAUCAAAAUAUGAUGAAAAAAACACACUUCUGUAUCAAAGAUGUGUGGGUUUUUUUUCUUUCUUUUGCUUACUCAUUCAGAUGUGAUGACUGUUACACAGAAUUCUCUGAAUCUUAAGAACUCUGUAGGUUUUAUGGGUUGAAAGACCAUCCUCUACCAAAGUAACCGUGAAACAGGCUUGGUCCACUCCUGAGUGGAAUGAGAUUUCCCUUUCUGUGGUCUCCAACCAUGUGUGAUGUGCACUCAGCCUUCAAACCGUGGAGGAUGCCAAGAUAAUGGGGCAUCUUUCUCACAUGCUUGUGUACCGCAUUGCUGACAGAUAAAAGGAAGUAAUAGGUAUCUGCCAACUAAACGACAGCUCUAGGAAAGUUAUACAUAAGACCUUUUGCAUGGGAAAGAAAAUUCAGAGCAGCAUGAGUCAGUAGGACUAAACAGUUCCUCAGGUUUCCAUUGGAUGAGGCUUUCCUGCUGCUCCCAACUCUCCCCAUCUCCUGCAGUUUCAGCUAGGAAUGUUCUUAGCUCUGAAAUGAGGGGGAAAAAAUGUGGCCUUAGUUUUCUGCAAUUCUUUGAAGUAUUUUUAAAGUGAGUAAGGAAUAAUAAAAGUUGAGUCCCUGACUCACCUUGCUUUUAACAUACUUUUGGUUCAAAGGAUUGUGUUUUCUCCUCUUUUAAUCAUUUGUAUAUUGGCAGAAAUAAUGCACUGCAAUAUCAGUGACUGGUAAUGCAGUGUGUAGGAAAAUUACUCUUUUUUGAUUGAAUAGACAUGUUAAUCUCAUCAGUAUGUAAAUGAAAGGUGCUCCUGAGGCAUUCUGCCUCUUGAGACUUUCAUUUCAGCCUGUCUUUUGGGGAUGCUCACCUCCAAGGAUUGCAUUAAGAGAAAUCAGCUGUAAAGAUGUAAGUAGGGAACAGGAUACUAAAC